rnacentral:rRNA from 1 species
UACGUAGGGGGCAAGCGUUGUCCGGAUUUAUUGGGCGUAAAGAGCGUGUAGGCGGCCAAGCAGGUCAGCUGUGAAAACUCGAGGCUCAACCUCGAGACGUCGGUUGAAACCGCUUGGCUAGAGUCCGGAAGAGGAGAGUGGAAUUCCCGGUGUAGCGGUGAAAUGCGCAGAUAUCGGGAAGAACACCCGUGGCGAAGGCGGCUCUCUGGGACGGUACUGACGCUGAGACGCGAAAGCCAGGGGAGCGAACGGG